AUGUGUUAAAUUUAUAAUAUAGAUAUUAUAAUUUUAAAGGAGGCGUGUUAAGGUUAUCACCUUAUCUCUGUAGUUAAUCUAAAUUACUUGAUCGACAAGAUUGCUUGCUACUCUUUCACUUUUCAGAACUUGUCUCUUGUCUUCGAUAUGCUUUGUUCCUAUGUGGUCAUUCGGUUAAUAAAGAAGUCCAUGAUUUAAAUAAAGUUGUCUUUAUUGAAAUCCUUAUAUCUUAAUCUUAACAGAGACUUGUCUAUUUAUUAGAAGACAAAGAAUGGGAUAUCAUACCUGAGUGUUGGAUAUUGGAUGGAAAUGAUAGUGCCAAGUAUCCAACAGCUUUGGGAAAAGAAUUAGAAGACCUUGUGAAAGACGGAAAGGACCUAACGGAGAAAUAUAGGUACGAUUGUCAACAUCAAAACGGACGAACAAAAUUAUAAGGAUUAAUCGCUCGCCUAUGAGGAUUUAGUAAGACGCACAAAAAAAAAAAAGACAGUCAAAGAGUCCGAAGAUGAACGAGCUCAACGCAAAAAAAGAAACCGCAUCACGCCGAAGCAUUUGAAAGAAGCUUUAGAGUCUUCUACUGGGAAAAAUUCGGCAGCCUCCUCGAAAAGGGCCCAAAAAGGCCCUCCUUCUUCGCCAUUAGAACUGCCGAAAUUAACAGCCACCAAUUUGCUGUCUUGGGCAAACGUCAAAGACUCCAAAGGAAAAAAGAUCCUGCCCAAAAAAAAUGAUCAAAUUCCACUCAAAGACCCGCCCAAAAAAAAUGAUCGAAUUCCACUCAGAGACCCGCCUAAAAAAAAUGAUCGAAUUCCACUCAAAGACCCGCCCAAAAAGAAUGAUUCAACUCCACUCAAAGUCUCCAGUUCUGGUGGAAAUAAUAAACGUCAACCCCAAGGUACCGAAAAUUCCAGUACUGAAGGAAAUCAAUCUGCACAUCAGGAUUCUCCCAAAGGCUCAUUGGAAUUGAUCCACAAAAGUCUUCGCCAACUGACCAAGUCAAACGAAGAUUUAAGAAAAGACACAGUAAAAGGUCUACAAGAUGUCAACUCCUCCCUUCAACUUUUAACCAAACAAAUGAAGUCUCCUUCAGUGAACUGCACUGAAAGCUUAUCAACUCAUCUACCACGGGCUGAAGUAAAAGAAGAAGUUUUGGCUGGUUUACCUCUAAUGGAUAAGGCUGGUUUAAAGAAAUUCAACGAAGACUUGAGCAACGAGGAAUUUUAUAAACACGCAGUCAGUGCAUUAGCAUACACUGCUUCAAAAGCAAAACAUCCCACUGGCACUGCCCGGAACGUUCUUGGAAAAAUAUUUUCAAAUAAAAUAACCGGCAAAUUUACUUGGAUAGGUCAGAAAAGGACCAUUAAGGACCGUGAUGGGGAGAAAAAAUUGAAAAGAAAAUACCAUUCAGCCGCUUGCGAUUGAAACAGCUCAUGAUGGAUGUGACCAUGAUUUUACAACAAAAAGUUGUCACCGAGGAAGAAGUUAAAGAUUCCAUCAACGGAUGGUUCUCCCAAACAUCCAAAGCGGCAAAAGGGAAGAAAAAAAAUACUUGUCAGAGCAA
rnacentral:lncRNA from 1 species